rnacentral:rRNA from 1 species
UACGGGGGGGGCAAGCGUUAGUUCGGAAUUCGAUCUGGGCGUAAAAGGGCUCGUAGGCGGCCUAACUAAGUCAGACGUGAAAUCCCUACGGCCUUAACCGGGGAACGUGCGUUCUGAUACAUGGAUGGCUUGAAGUUUGGGAGAGGGAUGCGGAAUUCCAGGUGUAGCGGUGAAAUGCGUAGAGUAUCUGGAGAACACCGGUGGCGAAGGAGGCGAUCCUGGACCAACACUGGACGCUGAGGAGCGAAAGCCAGGGGAGCAAAGCGG